UUGUCCCGCCCCGAGACCCCGCCCCUGGUCCAGCGGCGGCUCCCAGAGCCGAGGGGCGGGCCCCCCAGCCUGCGCUCCCGCGCCUUUUCCGCCAGGGGGACGACUUUCUCCUCUCCCGCGCGAGGGCCGGGGCCCGGGGCUCCCUCAGGGCCUCCGGGAACGCUCCUCAGCGCCUCGCGAGGCCUCAGGGCCUCGCCGUGAGAAGCAGAUGGAAACUAGGCAUCUAGAGCUGCCAUUGUGGCUCUUCAGUCAGCUGGCACCCAGUCUGUUUGUCAUCCUGCUCCAGCCUCAAGGUCACCACAAGUUGUGAAAUGGCUGCUGGAGCUCCAGCCAUCAAGCUGACUUCCAUCUGGACGCAGGGGGAAGGAAGUCCAAAAGGAACCUCCCUGUCAAUGGCGUCAGCUUCAGUUAAGCAGCCUGUGUAGACAUUCCACACAGCGUUUCUGUGUACAUCUCACUGGCUAGAGCCUAGCUCUCCCAGGCAGGCCGGCAAACUGUCUUCUAGCUGGAUCCACUGUCACCCCAAAUAAAACUGGGAUUCUGUUAUCAAGGGAGCAGAGGUAGUGGGUGUUCACAAGGCAACCAGCUAAUAAUGUUUGCCUCACCUUCAGCCUGGGACCAGUUUAGAUGCUCUGCCUGUGGUGGGGGCUGAUAUGGCACAUAUUCACACAUGCCAUCUACAUGUACACACACUAGGACCUUUUCCACUGCCAUGGAGCAGAAACAACUUGUAAGAAAAAGAGAGUUUUUCCUUUUCUUUUCUUUUUUGAAAUCAUAGGGGAAAUGUCAUAAGCUUUCUCUCCAGGGCAUAUUGCUCCACCCAGUGGCUCAGAGCCCUGUCCUGGUGCAGUCAUGCUAAAAAACACGCACAGCUGUGCUCGGUCAUGUGCUCUGCUGGGAGGGGUCCCCCUGGUCAUUCAUGCUGCCAGCUGCCAAGUGAAGGUGCAGAAGUGCUGGGAACCCGGGUCCACAGUAUCUAGUUAUAUGGAAAAAAAGUCAUCUAGUGUUUCAUAGAAAUUGUUAGGAUUGUAUAAAAAAUUCCAGGGCUACUGAGUUUCAUCUGAAGAAGAAAUUCAUUUUAUAACCCACUGGUGUGAAAACACCAUUUCUGGCAUUUGGAAACUUAAGAUCCAGUUCAACUCUUUGAGAAUUUACGUAGGAAGGGUCUAUUCUCAACAAAAAUCCAGGUGAGACACAGAUGGAAAGGUUGCUAUAGCAAGUUCCCUGCCCUAAGGAGUUUGCAGACGGGCAGAGAUAAACUAUACAGACAUCACAGGAGGUCAAGACCUGAAGAGAUAACAUCAUGAAACUAACCUCCUUAUUUUGAGUAUGAGGAAGCCCUAAGCAGUGGUAUGUCAAGUCCGUUGUAGUUUAAAAGGGGGAGAGGCACGUAAACACACUGAUGCCUCCAAAAUAUUGAUUGAAACUGUCCUCCUCACCAAGAGAAAAAAAAAGUCUAAUUUCAACUGAAAUUCUCAGAAUAAUACACUUAAUUCAAAUUAUCUACAAUAUUGCAAUUUUGCCUUGAAAAUUUUCUCCCUUACAAGAUUAUUCAAAAUGAAAAAUACAUCCAAAGUUCAUUAACCAGUAAGGAAAUGUGGUAAAGAAUUUCCUCAUGAAAGCAAGCUUCAUCUCCAUGCAGGACCCUUUAGUAAACCAGAUUGGGGGAAAUUCUAGAUUUCAUAGAUUUGGGGCCAUGGAUGCUCAGGGGUGCCUGCCAUGGUAGAGCUGGUCCUGCCCACAGGCCUCCCUCACCCACUAAGAUUCCGGUGAACAGAGACAGCACAGAGGGGAGGGUGGUUAGGGGGUGGAGAUGGGGAGGACACGGCACAGAUGGGUAACAUCCUGCCCGUGUGUCCUCACUGUGUGGGCACACAACAUGCCAAAGAGCAGGGGGACAGGCUGAGUGAGCAGUGACCCGUUACACAGUGACCCUGCUCCCGAAUGAACCUCAGCCGCAUGAAUGUCGGACUCUCAUUCACCACCCGUGCAGAUGAGUGCAUCAGGGAAAAGGGAGGGGAAAUGAACAUUUUCCAGCUGUAAAUUCCUAUCCUUUAGAAGGCCAAGUUGAAAGUCAAAUGAUAAAGUGUCAUGUUUGGCUGUGGGUAAGAAAGAUCGCCUGAGACUGAAUCGGCCCAUUGAGGAGCACAAAAACAGAACAAGACAUUGCUCCAAAAGGACACCUUAGGGCAGAGAGUGCCCCCAAGUGACCGCCAGGUGGCACUGUAGACCAGACACAGCUGGGUUGUUGGUCUGGAAAGGCUGGGGUGCAGUGGGAAAGCUGGUGUCAAAACCCAGCUAGACAUACAGUGGAACGUUAUUCAGUCCUCAAAGGCAAGGGGAUUGUGGCACAUGCUCUAAUAUCAAUGAACCUCAAAGAUACUACUCGAAGCCAAAUUAAGUCAGACACACAAGGACACCAACUGCAUGAUUCCGCUUAUAUAUGCUACCUAGAGCAGUCGAACUUACAGAGACCACAAGCAGAAGGGUGGUUUCAAGGACUGGGGACAGGAGGGAAGGAGGAGUUCCUGUUUAGUGGGCACAGAACUGCUCUGUGGGCCGAGGAAGGACUUCUGGGUGGGACGGUGAGGACAGCUGCACAGCAGCACAGCAGUGAGGAUGUGUGAUACUAGCACAGAACGGACAAGUUCGCAAAAACAGAUAAGAUGGUAAACUUCAUGUUUCAAAUGUUUUACCACAAUAAAAUAAACCAGGGUGCUCACA